AAACCUCUCGCGAGCGCCCGAAUGUUUUUAAUUGUUCAAUCGAAAUCGUGUAACAUUAACAUUUAUUUCGCCUUCUUCUUCUUCUCAUUAUUUCCAUCCUCGCCAGGUCUUCUUUCUCCCUCUCGGCGUCUAUGCGUCUCUGUCAGUUUCUUUUGGUGUCUUUCUCGUGUUCGCCGCUUUUAGUUCGCGCGAGGUGCUCGUGUCGCGGGAUAUUUACCGUUCUAGUUUUUCAUAUUUUUUUUAUUUUAUUCUUCGUUUUUUUGCUUUCUUGAUUACGCCAAUUUAAUUUUGUAGACCUUAGGGUUCAUUCUAAUUUUUGGUGUAUAUGUGCUGUAGUUCGUUUUGAUAACGGAAAAAUAGUGAUGGAUCAACUGUACCGGGCUCUCACGCGGAGGCCUUUUUGGUGAAAUCAAGUGUUCCGGAAAAUGUUUUGACUCGUUAAUUUAUUAUUAUAAUGAUACUCGAAGUACACGUGCGAUACGCUCUUUUGUCAGCCGGGCGACGAAAUGAUCCAUAUCUUAUUGAUAUCAUAUUAUGGACGACGAAAAUACAGAGAAGAAGGUGUGAGGAUUUUUCAAGAUGUACCACUCACACAUGGAUUGAGCGCAGGACGGGAUGUUUCCAUCUGCAGACAAGGAAAUACCGGCCGACGUCCUGAAUAGAUGGCCCUCUUUAAAUCAGCGAACAACACUCAGCAAUAAGUUUAAGAACGCAGUUGUGCAAUUGCCAAUGGUCAGAUAGCCCCAAAUCACCUUUAUUGCCACGAGCCCCUCGGAAACAAUACCUUUUGAACCGUAAUCCUGUGAAAGUUACAAAAAAGCGGCCCGCUUUGCCUUCCCCCGAAGUGCGGCAUCGUAAUUCUCUCGUAACCGAAAAGUGUUACGUUAAUUGCGAGGAUUGUGCAGAAAACCACCCGGGCGGCAUGUGUUCUGUCGGCCGGUCAUUCGCCAGCUCACAUCCUAUUGUUCUCGGCUAAUCAAUUAAUUGUCUCCCAAAUUCGCCCGUUCGUUGACUGAAGUGAUACGGUGUGUAGUCGGGUGUUUCAGUGAAGUUUGAUCCGAUCCCCGAAUUUCAGCCCGCCAAGUUUGUUCCUCUGUGCCG
rnacentral:lncRNA from 1 species